GUCCCUUCAGGGUGCUGUGACUUAGCCUUCCGUCCAGACUGGCUAUGUUCCAGCUCCAUGGGAACUGCAUGAGCAGUGCAGUAGGAAACUGGGAACCCAGGAGACCUGCAGCUCAGUCUCCUGGAAUUAUACUGAUGCCAAACCAUCCUGGACCUGGUUUUGUUGAGCCAAGGGCUCAGAAAAUAAUCUGGAACUAAAACAAUCUGGGUUGUUUUGACUCUUUG
rnacentral:lncRNA from 1 species